rnacentral:rRNA from 1 species
AUUGAACGCUGGCGGCAGGCCUAACACAUGCAAGUCGAACGGUAACAGGAAACAGCUUGCUGUUUCGCUGACGAGUGGCGGGCGGGUGAGUAAUGUCUGGGAAACUGCCUGAUGGAGGGGGAUAACUACUGGAAACGGUAGCUAAUACCGCAUAACGUCGCAAGACCAAAGAGGGGGACCUUCGGGCCUCUUGCCAUCGGAUGUGCCCAGAUGGGAUUAGCUAGUAGGUGGGGUAACGGCUCACCUAGGCGACGAUCCCUAGCUGGUCUGAGAGGAUGACCAGCCACACUGGAACUGAGACACGGUCCAGACUCCUACGGGAGGCAGCAGUGGGGAAUAUUGCACAAUGGGCGCAAGCCUGAUGCAGCCAUGCCGCGUGUAUGAAGAAGGCCUUCGGGUUGUAAAGUACUUUCAGCGGGGAUGAAGGGAGUAAAGUUAAUACCUUUGCUCAUUGACGUUACCCGCAGAAGAAGCACCGGCUAACUCCGUG